rnacentral:rRNA from 1 species
AAUCUUGCGCAAUGGGCGAAAGCCUGACGCAGCCAUGCCGCGUGAAUGAUGAAGGUCUNCGGAUUNUNAAAUUCUUUCACCGGGGNAGAUAAUGACGGUACCCGGAGAAGAAGCCCCGGCUAACUUCGUGCCAGCAGCCGCGGUAAUACGAAGGGGGCUAGCGUUGCUUGGAAUUACUGGGCGUAAAGGGCGCGUAGGCGGACAUUUAAGUCCGGGGUAAAAUCCCAGAGCUCAACUCUGAAACUGCCUUUGAUACUGGGUGUCUUGAGUGUGAGAGAGGUAUGUGGAACUCCGAGUGUAGAGGUGAAAUUCGUAGAUAUUCGGAAGAACACCAGUGGCGAAGGCGACAUACUGGCUCAUUACUGACGCUGAGGCGCGAAAGCGUGGGGAGCAAACA